rnacentral:lncRNA from 1 species
GACUACCGAUAAAAUUUUCCAACGUGUGAAGAUAACUGAGGACCGUCUCUCUCAGGAAUGGCAUCAUCACUUGUGCUCGCUAGAGGAUGCAGAAAGCUAUGUUCAAAAUAACGAUAACCAGACAGCAUUAGAAAAUUUAAAAAGAUACUGCCUCUGUAUCAGAAGUGGGGGAUUCAAAUGUCACAGCUCAGGCUCAUCAGUAUUGGUUGUAAGCAUUGGUGAGAGGACAUAUGUGCAACAUCUUGUGUGUUACCGCUUCUCGGUGCGGCUGCAACAUUUAAUCAAUACAAACAUGCCUUGUGCUCCUUUGAUUCAUAAAAUGCUGGAUGUCUCGCUAAUCUGAGCCAGAGAGGAACAUAUAUUUGCAGCUGACCUUUGACUGGAAGGCGUGGAAGAUCGCUGUACUUGCUUUGCAGUUGAGGAGUACAAAACCAGUAAUGCAAAUGUUCAGUUUCUGGCAUGCAAAUCGGCAGGCGAGGUGGUAGCACACCUGCCUGUUCAGUGCCCAACACAUCAUGCGUGCAGAGGAAGCAAGCAGAGGGUGAUCCUGGUGUAGUUCUCCACAAACAAGGAUUCCUCCAAAGAGAAGCCUCCUUUCCUCCAGGUGUUGGCGUGGAUGCGUGCGAGAAGAGGAUGACAGGCGUGCGCGGCUGGUUGUACGCAAUUAGCACCUGCUAG